UGCCAAUGGCACUGCCCGGUAGCUAAAUGCGGAAGAGAUAAGUGCUGAAAGCAUCUAAGCACGAAACUUGCCCCGAGAUGAGUUCUCCCUGAGACUUUAGAUCUCCUGAAGGAACGUUGAAGACGACGACGUUGAUAGGCCGGGUGUGUAAGCGCAGCGAUGCGUUGAGCUAACCGGUACUAAUGAACCGUGAGGCUUAACCUUACAACGCCGAAG
rnacentral:rRNA from 1 species